rnacentral:siRNA from 1 species
GUCGAAUACGUUGACCUCAUGAGU